rnacentral:misc_RNA from 1 species
GCACUUUCUUCCCAAAAUCCAAUGAACUACUGAAACCCAGAUAAAGAAAGGGAAAAAAAAGGGGACUUGGCAAAAAGUGUCAAGAAUCACAAGAAAGAAACCCUGAAAAAGAUGGUACCCUUUAUCACAUACAACUUGAGUACCUUGGAUCUGAGGUAACCCAACCAAACCCACCUAAGAAAUGUAGUCUUUUUCAAGCCAUAAAUGGGGAUGGAAAUAGUAGAGGGAGGAACCACUAGCUUAUUUUUCAAGAACGGUACUGUGUUGUUCAGAACUUACUUUCCUUCUCAUCCCCAGAAGAGUAAUAUAGUUCAGUACUUGGAAGAGAAGGGAGAAGCAUCAACAAUGGUAAAUACCAAACAACAAAAAUGGGUUGCUUAUACAAUGGAAUGUA